CGGGGCGUAGCGCAGUCUGGUAGCGCACCACACUGGGGGUGUGGUGGUCACUGGUUCAAAUCCAGUCGUCCCGACCA
rnacentral:tRNA from 1 species